GACAGAGGGUGCUAGCGUUGUUCGGAAUCACUGGGCGUAAAGGGCGCGUAGGCGGCUUUGUAAGUCAGAGGUGAAAGCCUGGAGCUUAACUCCAGAAUUGCCUUUGAUACUGCUUAGCUGGAGUCCGGAAGAGGGUGGUGGAAUUCCUAGUGUAGAGGUGAAAUUCGUAGAUAUUAGGAGGAACACCAGUGGCGAAGGCGACCACCUGGUCCGGUACUGACGCUGAGGCGCGAAAGCGUGGGGAGCAAACAGG
rnacentral:rRNA from 1 species